CAACUACUCUCUAUGUCCGAAAUUUCUUGUCUUAGAUUUGUCUAGAUACAGAUGUAUCUAAUACUAAAAUGUGACUUGAUACAUCCGUAUCUAGACAAAUCUAAGACAAGAAUUUUGGGAUGGAGGGAGUACUUU
rfam:Triticum aestivum genome assembly, contig: Triticum_aestivum_CS42_TGACv1_scaffold_053029_1BS